rnacentral:rRNA from 1 species
UACGUAGGGGGCAAGCGUUGUCCGGAAUCAUUGGGCGUAAAGCGCGCGUAGGCGGCCCCGUAAGUCCGCUGUGAAAGUCAAAGGCUCAACCUUUGAAAGCCGGUGGAUACUGUCGGGCUAGAGUACGGAAGAGGCGAGUGGAAUUCCUGGUGUAGCGGUGGAAUGCGCAGAUAUCAGGAGGAACACCAAUAGCGAAGGCAGCUCGCUGGGACGUUACUGACGCUAAGGCGCGAAAGCGUGGGGAGCGAACAGGAUUAGAAACCCGGGUAGUCC